ACACCUGGUUAAUGUAACUUUUUGGUUUUUGCCUUUAAACCCUGCUGGAAUGUUGCUCAGAGCCUCUUCACAUCACCGGUUACCAAGUGUGCGGAAAACCAAGCUCAAGCUUGCAAUAAAUGACUCUUGUUGUUUGCAUUAAUUGUGGUCUCUGGUGGUCUGUAAGGGGGCAUCCGAAAACGGGUACUUCAGAUGGGGGCUUGUCCGGGAUGCCCCCCAGAAGCCCACCCAGACACCUGAUCAGCGAGUUGUCUAGCCAGCCACCCUGACAAACUAGUCCUGACUGUUCUUCAGUGAAGGGUCUUCUGGGAAUGUUGUUCUACAAGUUUCUGGGACACUACACAAGACUACCUCUGGUCCAGAGAGCAACUAGAAGUCUGACAUGUAGGUACUGUUCCAUUUCCCAAGUAUUCCAAGCCAUCUUCACAUUUACCAGCAAGCCCUAGAAGACACAGCCUCACCAGUACUUGGUACUCACACAUUUCAUCCACUUGAACUCUGGGCCUGAGCACUGUCCCUC